CUCCGCCCCCUGCCCGUCAGCCGCCCUCCGGCCAAUGGGAGCCUUGCUCCUGCCCGCCCCCCACCCCGGGCUGUGUUUCCGCGGGGCCCGCUCCCGCCCCCCUGCUGGGGGAGUCUGUCGGCGCUCUGGGCGCUUCCCGGCUCCCGGACCCGGGAAACUCCCGCUGACGCUGCGGGAAGCGCGCCGCUCUAGGGCUUCCCGGUCUUCCGCCCGCAGACCCGUCCGCACCUGACGUUCUUCUAGCUCCGGCAGCAGCCGAGUCCCGGGGGGCGGCUGGCGCGCUCCCACGCUCUCCAGAAAGCACUGGCCUUGAGCUUCUCCAUGGGGAACACACUCACCCAGAAGCUGUAUCGGCGUCCUCGGAGCCAGCAGGUCCUGCUCUGGGGACUCGGAGUGCGGGAGGAGACCCUAAUCGAGCACGCAAGCCCAUGCAAGCACAUGCAAACAAAUGCAUACAAGCACAUGCAAGAAUGCCACGGUUCUCCUGCGAAACGCCUAUCUCUCUCUUCCAUCUGUUAACUGAAGAUAAAGGCUUUAUCUGACUCCAGGAAAUCCGGAACACCCCAAUGAGGCUAUGCACACGCCUGCCUUGCUAUUUAAAGUAUCAGAUGGUCACGGAGAAGGCUGGAAUAAAUGCAGCCCUCCCUCCCAGGACGUCCCUCAGAUAUCAAAAUCUCUCCGUGCGCAAGUCCCUUCUGUAAAUGACAUUUGCCUGAAACCUGUGCAACCCUCCCCAAUGCUUUAAAUCAUCUGGAGUUUUCUAAGCAAACGUAAUACAAUGGAAAUGCUAUGUAAAUAGUUGUCAUUUGUACUGUUUAUGGAAUGACAAGAAAAAAAAGUCUGCAUGUUCAGCACACACGUUUUUUCCCCAGAUUAUUGCAGUACCCUCCCCUCCCCACACACGCACCCACAAACAUGGAGGCCAGCAGACUAAGUUAGCACUUAAUUAUUCUUCUUUGUGAGCUAGUCUGCAGUGGCAUCGGCGUGUACGGACCCAACUCAUCUAUUAGUUGGACAGUUGUAAAAGCCUCCUAACCGGCCUCUCUGAUUCUGUAUCUUAGACUUCAAAGCCCACAGGAAUGUCUUUGAUGGUAGAGAUGUAACAUAGGCAGAUUCCCCAGGCCUUGAGCCCAGAGUUUAUGAUCCAGUAGUGAGAGGAUGGGCCCCAGAAAUCUUCACUUUAAUAUACGUUGUCCCCCCCCCCCCCGCCCAGUUCUCCCACAGUUAUUGAGAGAAAUAAUGCUCUGAUUUGAUUUACUCUCAGGUCCAUUCCGCAGGCCAGCUCCACGGUUAUUUCUCUAAAACCUAAGUCUGAAUAUUAAUUCCCUUUGCUUAAUAACUUUUACUGGUCUCUGGUGCCGACAGAAGAGAGCUCCAGUCUACAGGGUGGCAUUCAAGGCCUAUGAGUCUAGCCUAUGCUUGUCUUCCUGCAUCUCCUCUCCCCACACUAUUCAUCAGCCCACAAGUGUUUGACCAUGGUCACUGUUCCUUGAGCACUGUGUAUUCCCUCCUGACUGUCAUUUCCUACAUGCUGUUCCUUCCGUUUGGAGUGUCCAUCUUCCUUCUGUGCCUGACAAAUAUUUUGCAAGAGGCAGAUUAAAGACCCACCUCUUCUGUGGUCCUCUCUUUUAGCCAUUUUCUGUCUCCAAAUCUCUUUUAUCACUUGGCAUCUACGGUGCAGUAUGUGACAAGAUUAUAAAGACAAUUAUGAUUUUCUGAGCUCAAUUCCUUCCUGAGCCCUCUUUCCUAAGAGAUUUGUUUUUAAAGGGUGUGGACCACUUUUUGUGGUUCUAGCCUUUGGUUCAAUACAUGUUUUUGGAACUUACUGUGUUGUGCAUGCAUGUGAAUUAAGUAACCAUGCAACUUAAGCCAUGUUGUAGGUACAGUGUAGAGGUGGAGAAACUGUGUAGACUAUACACUGUAUGAUUCCAACUGUAUGCUGUAAUGGAAAAGGCAAAACUACAGAGUCAAUAAAAAAAAUCAGUGUUUGCCA